CCUACGGGGGGCUGCAGUGGGGAAUAUUGGGCAAUGGAGGCAACUCUGACCCAGCAACGCCGCGUGAAUGAUGAAGGACUUCGGAUUGUAAAGUUCUGUGAUGGGGGAUGAACACAAUGACGGUACCCCAAUAGCAAGCCACGGCUAACUACGUGCCAGCAGCCGCGGUAAUACGUAGGUGGCAAGCGUUAUCCGGAAUGACUGGGGGUAAAGGGUGCGGAGGGGGGUUAGUAAGUAGGCGGUGUAAUUCCGGGGCUCAAACUGGGAGCUACCGCCAAAACAAUUAAACUAGAGUGCAGGAGGGGUAAGUGGAAUUCCUAGUGUAGCGGUGGAAUGCGUAGAUAUUAGGAGGAACAUCAGGGGCGAAGGCGACUCACUGGACUGUAACUGACGCUGAGGCACGAAAGCGUGGGGAGCAAACAGGAUUAGAUACCCUGGUAGUC
rnacentral:rRNA from 1 species